UACGUAGGGGGCAAGCGUUGUCCGGAAUCAUUGGGCGUAAAGAGCGUGUAGGCGGCUCGGUAAGUCCGCUGUAAAAGUCCAGGGCUCAACCCUGGAAAGCCGGUGGAAACUGUCGAGCUAGAGUCCGGAAGAGGCGAGUGGAAUUCCUGGUGUAGCGGUGAAAUGCGCAGAUAUCAGGAAGAACACCCGUGGCUAAGGCGGCUCUCUAGUACGGUACUGACACUGAGAGACGAAAGCUAGGGGAGCGAAUGGG
rnacentral:rRNA from 1 species